rnacentral:hammerhead_ribozyme from 1 species
GCACUGCUGAGGAGUGCCACAAUAGGACGAGACGGCCGUCUAGUGC